GACGAACGCUGGCGGCGUGCCUAAUACAUGCCAGUCGAACGAGAGCGCCCGGUGCUUGCACUGGUCAAUCUAGUGGCGAACGGGUGAGUAACACGUGGGUAACCUGCCCAUCAGAGGGGGAUAACAUUCGGAAACGGAUGCUAAAACCGCAUAGGUCUUCGAACCGCAUGGUUUGAAGAGGAAAAGAGGCGCAAGCUUCUGCUGAUGGAUGGACCCGCGGUGCAUUAGCUAGUUGGUGAGGUAACGGCUCACCAAGGCCGUGAUGCAUAGCCGACCUGAGAGGGUGAUCGGCCACAUUGGGACUGAGACACGGCCCAAACUCCUACGGGAGGCAGCAGUAGGGAAUCUUCCGCAAUGGACGCAAGUCUGACGGAGCAACGCCGCGUGAGUGAAGAAGGUUUUCGGAUCGUAAAACUCUGUUGUUAGAGAAGAACAAGUGCUAGAGUAACUGUUAGCGCCUUGACGGUAUCUAACCAGAAAGCCACGGCUAACUACGUG
rnacentral:rRNA from 1 species